UAUAAUAACUUACAUGAAAAACUUUUGCUGUACCUACAAAGAGAAGAUUUGGUAGGAAGCACCCCCACUGAACUCUUAACUGUAUUUCCUCUAGAUGGAUCUAGAGAGCCCAUACAACCCACACUGUCUUCCUGUGUAUUCUCCUUUUGCAUUGGUCCAGGGGAAAGGAAGUUGCAAGGAAAUAUAGUAUUGAGUUUAGAGCAGUGUUCAGAAUGACAGGAUCUAGAAUUUCAUCUCAGAGUUCUUAGUAGAUAUCAGUGCUGUGAUGAGAACAGCCUCAGUUAUAUACAUCCUGUUUUGGUCUUCAGUGGAUGUUUGUGAUAAUUACUGAAGAAUCCUAAAGUUUCAGGGUUUGUACAGAUUUUAGAGGUCAUCUGGUCCAACCCUGUUUGAGUUUCAUGUGAACAUUUGAAUAGCAUAAAGUCAUGAAAAGUAAAGCCAGAGGAGAGGCAGCAUGUGAGGUUCAGCACAAAGACUCAAUGAAAGACUGAGUACACAGCAGUAGAGAAGGGAAGUGAUGGAGUCUGUACGGAAAAGUAACGACUAAGGAUAGAAUUCUAAAGCUGGAAGCAGCAUAGAGAUCAAUGUUUUCCAAAGCAUGUUCUGCAAAUGUCAACAGAUGUUUUUUUCAGAAAAUACGUUUGGGAAAUGCCAAAUUUAAAAAAAUCCUUUACAGCAAGACUCUAGGAGUCUUUGAUACACUAAAUCCAGUAAGAAUCUAUCUGGUACUGUUGGGGAUCAACCAGGGUAGGGAAGUUUUCCCAAACUUAUUCAACCAGACUUUUUUUUUUUUAAUUGGAAUCUACUUUGAGAAAUGCUGAUCACAUUUUGUUACUUCAUUUUACAGAGAGUUGCCCCUUCAUGUGAUUUCUUCAUUUGACAGGUGACUACUCCCAUCCCGUAAGAGCACAUGGCCAGCCAAUGACAGAGUCAGAAUUAGAACCUAGUCCCCACCCCUGCACCCCCCACCCCAACCCAUUCCCAGUACUGCCUGUUUCCUUCCCCUAGUAGAUCAGAACUUCUGAAGAGCAGAAACUUUCAGUUUUUGUGCAUCCUUCCCACCCCACCCAGUCCUCUUGUGUAAUCUGAAGCUUUACUGGCUGCAGGCUCUUGACAAGUGGCUCUGGGUGUGGUUCCCCAGUUGGUCUCCUUUGUUUCCAAGGCACUCAUUAAAGAGUGUCCUACCGGAUCAGGACAGAGGGCCUCUCAGGUCUCAGACUCAACAUACUCAAGAAAAAGAAAAACCAAAGGACAAAAAAAUUAAGUAAGAAAAAAAAGGAUACCCCGGAAUCUUUUAUUCGUUUUCCAUUUUGGUGACAAAUGCAACCUUGGUAGGGAAGUUGUGUAGCGUCAGAUAACAUUUGAUAUUCCUUUCACUCCCUUCCUUAGUGUUUGUAUGUUGGCCUUUUAUCAAUUUAUGACAACUCCCCACCAAAAUGGUACCAACAUAGGUUAACUAAUAGAAAUUUUUUAAUUUAAGUACUUUUUGGAGAAUAGGAAAAUUUUUGAUGCUGCUGUGGGUGUGUGUGUGCUUGUUUCCCACCCCCCCCCCCCCCCAAAUAAUCUCUUGGCAGAUAGCAGGAACUUUUCCCCUGCCUUUGUUUUUGGAUAAGGGUGGGAGCGUGCUUAGUAUUGUCUGUUACCUUAUGGUUUUUCACUUAUUCGUAACUUGCUUCCUCCCCACCCUGCUGUUGUCAGGAUAUGUUGGGGAGUCACUCUUUAGGAAGAUUACAUGUGGUCUUCUGUUGGAGUAAGAUGAAAAACAAGUGUAUUAGCACUUCACCCUUAAUGAUUUCUCCUGGAAAACAUCGAGCAUCGUUCAUACCUUCCCUUGACUACACUACCACAUGCACUACCUUCUCUGCUUGAUCUCUGAAAAUGUUUGAUUCCUGUGAGAUUUGUCAUAGAAAAGUAUAGCCAUUUUUGGUUCUAAGGUUUUCAUAAUAAAUCCAAACUCUGCCAGUAAGAGUCUGAGGAGCUUUUUGCUUUUUGCUGCUAGGUACAUUUCUCAGAAGUAGCCAGCACUAUGACUCUCCCAAGACUCUUAUGUUGUCUCCUUUUUUCAGCUUCUGUGACCUCUUCUAAUGUUCACCCACUCUCCCUAACGGUACGAAAUGCUGCCAGUGGUUGCAGUAACGACUCUUAGAAGGUGGCCUUUCUCUUUUUCCUUUCUUACCUCUCAUUUUCAGUAGUCAAGAAAGGUUAAUUUUCUCAGAAACUUCAAUUUUUACAAAAACGUUAUUCCUAUUUUAUCUCUGUAGAGAUCUGCUUGCGUGGCAAAAAAAUAAUUUUCAUUUUAGAAUUGUUCCAUUUUGAUUUUUCUCAGCUGGAGCUAGUGCAUGCACAUUUAAUAAUGUCAGGGAAGCAGGUGGGGGGGAGGGGGUAAAUGUAGUUUUCUCUCACAUUAUACUAUGUUUCUCUAGCUGAAUCAAUCCAUUCAUUAUCUCAUUCACUAGGGGCAAGCAAUUGUGCCCUAUGGUAACGGCCUGAAAGAGUAGACUGUUCUAAGCAUUCUUAGGAUCAUAAUCCUCCUGAUCCUAUACAGUUUAUGGUAAUCAUCCCCAAAAGUUUAUGAAGGGUAAAAUAUACUAAAAUCUACACAUUCAUGAGCUAUGGCCACAGUACCACCUCCCACUAGGAGGAUUGGUGGCCACAGGGACACACUGACUCCUUCAAGAACCCCAAAAUACAUGUAAAGAGAUUGGCACAUUCAGAUCUUGUACAGUUUAAUCCAUUACAGUUUACCAGUCCAGAGUUCAAAAGAUGACCACAGUUCUCAAGCUUUCAGGCUAAUCUGAAUAUGCGAUAAGUGAUAGAAAUUAACCCCAUUAACCCAUGCCAAUUAGCUACAUGCUAGCAUGGUUCCACCUCCCAUUGGUUGGUGCCACAGUGACUGAAAAGUAGGGUUUUAGAUGUAUGCUGUAAGAAUCCAGGAAUUUCAGUGCUGGACAAAAGUAAUUCCUUAAUGGGGUAUUGACCUUAGGUGGGGAAACAAGUGGCCAGGAUGGCAGGACUAUAUAUAGAAUUGAGGCAAGAUAGUGUGAGGACUAGAGAAAGAAAAGGCAAGCGGGACUGGAAGAGGAGACUUAGUGCAUGGUUGUGAGAGUCUGACAGCUUAGAUGUUCCAGAAAAGUUAGCCCAGACUUAUGUUUCUGCGAAAGGGGAAGUAGAGUAACAUAGGUCUGAUCACAACAUUCCUUCACUUGAGCCCUUUGACGACUCCCAUUUAUCAGUGCAGGCUCCCCGUGGCCUAGCCCAUCCUAAGUCUCCUGCCUGAUCCACUGCCUAUCCCUGGCAAUCAAAUUUCUGUGACAGCAAACUGCAUCCCAUUGGCCUACGAGUGCAUGCGUUUUAGUAUAAUGGUUACCUGUCAUACUCGUCUGCCCAACAUCUUAUUUCUUCUCUUUCUGGGUCCUCUCAAUCUUCUCAUGAAGUACCACCCCAGCCCUGCCCACUCUAUAUGGUUCUAAUAGAGCUACAAAUCCUACAAAAGUCUUCUUGCAACCUUAACCAUGUCUGGUUAAAAUUAUAUUCUGCUUUGUAUGAGUCCCUAUUAACACAGCUCUAUCCUAGCACUGUCUGUACUAUGGCCAGGCAAUGGGUACAGUGAUUAGCUUGGAGAUAGGCCCAUGACUGAAGCUAGACUGAGCAGAGGCUUUUCCAUGGGAUCUUAUUUGCUGGCCUUGAAAUGCAGGUAACCUUCUAUGGCUAUUAACUACAAUCCAGUGUGAUAUGAGCAUGGAACUCUGUGGCCAAACUCCACCCCUUCCUCCUGCAACAUAGAUUAUGUCUGUCUGCUAUGGGAGAGAAGGCAGCAUCCACACAUGAGCAGGGCCAAGAGUUCUGGGAGAGCUGAAGCCAGAUUUCCCCGUUACACUUUCCUUGUAUUUGUGUAAACUAUUUUGAGAUGCGUUUCUGUCCCUUGGAAACGGAAGAGUUCAAGUUAAUGAUCACUUGACCAAAAAUAACCUCCACAUCCCUAAUGAAAAUUCUCUCUUUGGGGACAACAUCCUGUGAAGCCUUUCCUCAAUCCCCUGGUUGAAAUUAAUUACUGCUUGUGAGCCCCAUGCUGUAGUCUUUUCAGAUUGCUAUUGCAAAAAUAGCAUAACCCGGAUGCCUUAUAAACAUGUCUCACAGUUCUGGAGGCUAAGAAGUCCAAGACCAUGGCACCAGCAAUUCGGUGUCUGCUUCCUCAUUCACAUGAAGAGGAAGGGGUAAGGACUCUCUGGGAUCUCUUUUAUAAGGGCACUAAUCCCAUUUGAGAGGUCUCCACCCUGCCACCUAACCUCUUCCCAAAGGCCCCACCUCUAAACCUAUCACAUUGGGGAUUAGGUCUCAGCAUAUGAAUUUGGGAGAGACACAUGUUCAGUCCAUAGCACCCCCCUAUUAGCAAUGUAUACCUCAAUAGUUGCACUGGUUUCAUUCUUCCUUGACUUGGAGUUUGUUUAUAUAUCUAUUUUCCUCAUUUGUAAGAUCUUUAAAAGUAGAGAGCAUACCUAAAUCAUCAUUGGACCCUCCAUAGGGCAACACAUAAUAGGUUCUUAAAUUUUUUGAAUGAUAUCUAGACUACUAUGUACCAAGCUCAAUUCUAAGAACUGAGAAUAACAGUGAAUUUUAAGAUGUGAACAUUCAUGCUUUCAUGGAAUUUGCAUCCUAGUGGGAAAACUAUCUGACGAAAAUUCAUGGGAAUUGCUGAAUUGGGAAAAACCUUGAGGAAAGGCAAACGCGACCUGGAACCAAGAGGCUCAGACAAAAGGGAUCUUGCUUUUUACCACCACCAAAGAAGGCAAAAUGAGCUCUUAGGGCGUGGCAAAGGAGUGGGAAGUAUGUCAGGAUAGAGUUCAAAAUAGAACUUGAGCAUACUUUUUAAAGCUAGUCCAAUUAACCGGCACCAAAUGAAAAUGGCCAGCUAGAUGCAAUUACAGGCACUCCCCAACUUGUGCCCAUGGUAACUCACUGGCAGUUUCCUACGGAGACCAAAAAUUAUUUACUUCUUGCCAUAUACUCUUCCCUAAACAUAACAAUGCAUGUUCACAUCUCUCUACCUUUAUACUUGCCAUCCUUUCACCCUGGAAUGUGUUCUUUUUUUCCCAUUUAUGGGACUGUUACCUAUUUUGAAGUCAGUAAUCACUGAAUUCAUGAUUGAGAAAAAACAAAAAUCAAAAAGCAGUGCUUUCCCAGUUCCUUCCAGCUGCAGAAUGUUUCUCUCUAUACUAGACAGUAAUUUAUGAUUUACCCUCUCUGCAACUGAAACAUAAUGGAAGGGAAAACAAAGGAGAAAAAGAUGGCAUUUGUGAGAAAUGGUAAUCGGGCAAUUAAUUUGUGUGAGAGACUAGAACAUUUUGCUUUAGUGUUUUGUUUAUAAAGAGGGGAGUGUACUCCCAAGUUUCAAAUAAAUAUUAACUUUGGAACUACAACUUUUGGGGGGGAAGGGCUAAGGUUUGUACCCAUAUAUAAGUAUGCCCCAAGGUCAGUCCUUACACAAAACUUUGAUGGUUGGAGCACAUGCACUAAAGAUGACUUAUGUGGGGAAAGGACAGUGGAGGGGAAGGACAGGUCUGGGAGAGAAGCUGGUCCCACAGGUAGUGACAGUGGAAAGUUACUCAGGCAAUGGGAACAACCGGGGUGUCUUGUCUGGGGGCUGUUGGAGCCAAGUUGGAAAACAAUUGUUUCUGACACAUCAAAGCCUGGGAAUUUUUCUCAACUGGAUCUAUGGUGGUAAACAUUUGCUACCACCACCUGUUUUCAAAGUUUUCUCUGCUCAUUUUUCCCCCUCAACUGUAAAAAAGAUUUGAUAUGUCUACAUACAUAGGUAUGAAAGCUUACAGCUUGCCAAAUUUAUUAAAUCCUCACUUGAGUGGCUUGUAUAUAAAACCACUGUUAACCUGUACCUAGCACUGUCCUAGGAAUAUUAGAUGUAUUCCUUCAUCCCCUCACAAUACCUCUACGAGGUAAACACUGUUGUCAGGCCUUAUUUUCCAACAAGGAAACCAAGGCACAAAGGUUUAGGUAGCCAGUGCCUGGUCACACAGACACAAGAUGAUGGUGGAGCCAUGUUGUAGGGAUCCUUAAGCCUGUGCCCUGCUGCCUCUCCCAGCCUAAUGUGUGGGAAAGUGUUCCAGAUGGGCCUCAGGACCACACCCCACAUACAUAUCCGUAGGAAGAGGCCUGGGAAUUGUGACUCAGUCAGAAUUCUAGCUUACUCCCCUGCCUGUGGUCUCGAUGGCUGGUAAAAAAAAUAACCACAGUGCUUGCAAGUAGAAUAGAAAUGCGCACAUUUCACAAGAAAAAUAGACCAAGGUGAUCACAUCCUACUUUGCCUCCUUCAGGGCUGUGAGCAGAAAAGGCUGAUGUCUUGACGAAUGGGUUGCUCAAUGCUGUGAAGAAUCAAUAAUUGUUAUAAGCAUCAGGAAGACAUGACUGAAAAGAACAAUAAGAAAUGUAAUCUCAAGAGACGAAAUAUGAUUGAAGAAGAAAUCAGUUUUCCUGUCUCAUUGGACAUGAUUGUGUUUAAAGGGGAAUCUUCAUGAUCACAGCAGGUAAUCUCAACAACCAAUAUGGGACUUGAACUCACAAUACUGAGAUCAAGAGUCACAUGCUCUCACCAAAAACCAUAAAAUACCUAGGAAUAAAUCUAACCAAACAGGUGAAAAAUCUAUACACUGAAAACUAUAGAAAGUUUAUGAAAGAAAUUGAAGAAGACACAAAAAAAAAAAAAUGGAAAAAGAUUUCACGCUCCUGGAUAGGAAGAACAAAUAUUGUUAAAAUGUCAAUACUACCCAAAGCAAUCUACAUAUUCAAUGCAAUCCUUAUCAAAAUAACACCAGCAUUCUUCACAGAGCUAGAACAAAUAAUCCUAAAAUUUAUAUGGAACCAGAAAAGACCCCGAAUAGCCAAAGCAAUCUUGAAAAAGAAAAUCAAAGCAGGAGGCAUCACAAUCCCAGACUUCAAGCUAUACUACAAAGCUGUAAUCAUCAAGACAGUAUGGUACUGGCACAAAAACAGACACUCAGAUCAAUGGAAGAGAAUAGAGAACCCAUAAGUGGACCCACAAACGUAUGGCCAACUAAUCUUUGACAAAGCAGGAAAGAAUACCCAAUGGAAUAAAGACAGUCUCUUCAGCAAGUGGUGCUGGGAAAACUGGACAGCGACAUGCAGAAGAAUAAACCUGGGCCACUUUCUUAUGCCAUACACAAAAGUAAACUCAAAAUGGAUGAAAGACCUCAGUGUAAGACAGGAAUCCAUCAAAAUCCUUGAGGAGAAAGCAGGCAGAAACCUCUUUGAUCUUGGCCACAGCAACUUCUUACUCAACAUGUCUCCGGAGGCAAGGGAAACAAAAGCAAAAAUGAACUACUGGAACCUCAUCAAAAUAAAAAGCUUCUGCACAGCGAAGGAAACAAUCAGCAAAACUAAAAGGCAACCGAUAGAAUGGGAGAAGAUAUUUGCAAACGACAUAUCAGAUAAAGGGUUAGUAUCCAAAAUCUAUAAAGAACUUAUUAAACUCAACUCCCUAAAAACAAAUAAUCCAGUGAAGAAACAGGCAAAAGACAUGAAUAGACACUUCUCCCAGGAAGACUUCCAGAUGGCCAACCGACACAUGAAAAAAUGCUCCACAUCACUCAUCAUCAGGGAAAUACAAAUCAAAACCACAAUGAGAUACCACCUCACACCUGUCAGAAUGGCUAACAUUAACAACUCAGGCAACAACAGAUGUUGGUGAGGAUGCGGAGAAAGAGGAUCUCUUUUGCAUUGCUGGUGGGAAUGCAAGCUGGUGCAGACACUCUGGAAAACAGUAUGGAAGUUCCUCAAAAUAUUAAAAAUAGAACUACUCUGUGACCCAGCAAUUGCCCUACUAGGUAUUUACCCAAGGGCUAUAGGUAUGCUGUUUCAAAGGGACACAUGCAUCCCAAUGUUUAUAGCAGAACUCUCAACAACAGCCAAAGUAUAGAAAGAGCCCAAAUGUCCAUCAA